UGGAAUGGUAGCACCCUACAAGGGCAAUAA
rnacentral:sRNA from 1 species